rnacentral:rRNA from 1 species
GCUAAACGCGAAGAACCUUACCCACCUUUGACAUGUACGGAAUCCUUUAGAGAUAGAGGAGUGCUCGAAAGAGAGCCGUAACACAGGUGCUGCAUGGCUGUCGUCAGCUCGUGUCGUGAGAUGUUGGGUUAAGUCCCGCAACGAGCGCAACCCUUGCCAUUAGUUGCUACGAAAGGGCACCCUAAUGGGACUGCCGGUGACAAACCGGAGGAAGGUGGGGAUGACGUCAAGUCCUCAUGGCCCUUAUAGGUGGGGCUACACACGUCAUACAAUGGCUGGUACAGAGGGUUGCCAACCCGCGAGGGGGAGCCAAUCCCACAAAGCCAGUCGUAGUCCGGAUCGCAGUCCGCAACUCGACUGCGUGAAGUCGGAAUCGCUAGUAAUCGCGAAUCAGAAUGUCGCGGUGAAUACGUUCCCGGGUCUUGUACACACCG